rnacentral:antisense_RNA from 1 species
CUUUAUGGCGGGCUGUGCGUGGGACACCUAUGGUGUGCCGGGUUCCUAUUCUCCGGUUUUCCACCCCGCGCACAGUUCGCCACCCUU